CAACUUUACAGCUACGAUCAUGAUAUAUAGGUUUAUGCACGGCAAUGGGCCUUCGUCAAGCUCUAGCGCACACGUGUACUGAAUAAUGGGUAGUGUAGAAGGAAAGUUCAAAUGUGAUUGCACUCCACCAAAAUAUGGCGCACCGUCAGAGUACACUGGCAGUGCUCACACUGAGGUGGAGGAACAUUCUUCAAAAGAAAGAAAUGAAUGGGUCAAGUAUGUAUGCCCGAUGCGAGCACUACACGAGACUAUUUCCACCUUCCUGCACUGCCUAUAGGAGGACUGCCACUGCACCAGGACUGGCUUGACAGCAUGAAACUUCCCCUGCACGUGUUGUAACCUCACCGUGGUGCAGGGGUGUACCAUUCUCUUUGAGAAUGGCCAAUACAGCAGAAAUCCCCUUUUUUUCUUCGAAAUACAAUUAAAAUUUUGAAUAAAAGUUAGUAUCUAUCUGUG